rfam:Hordeum vulgare subsp. vulgare, WGS project CAJW01000000 data, contig: morex_contig_110172
AGAGGCGAUAAUACCAGCAUUAAAGCAUCACAUCCCAUCAGAAUUCCGAAGUUAAGCGUGCUUGGGCGGCAGUAGUACUAGGAUGGGUGACCUCUUGGGAAUUCCUCGUGUUGCAUUCC